rnacentral:rRNA from 1 species
UACGGAGGGUGCAAGCGUUGUUCGGAAUUACUGGGCGUAAAGCGCGUGUAGGCGGACCUAUAAGUCAGAUGUGAAAGCCCUGGGCUCAACCCGGGAAGUGCAUCUGAUACUGUAGGCCUUGAGUCCCGGAGAGGGUUGUGGAAUUCCCGGUGUAGAGGUGAAAUUCGUAGAUAUCGGGAGGAACACCAGUGGCGAAGGCGACAACCUGGACGAGGACUGACGCUGAGACGCGAAAGCGUGGGGAG